CCUACGGGUGGCAGCAGUGAGGAAUAUUGGUCAAUGGGCGUAAGCCUGAACCAGCCAAGUCGCGUGAGGGAUGAAGGUUCUAUGGAUCGUAAACCUCUUUUAUAAGGGAAUAAAGUGCGGGACGUGUCCCGUUUUGUAUGUACCUUAUGAAUACGGAUCGGCUAACUCCGUGCCAGCAGCCGCGGUAAUACUGAGGAUCCGAGAGUUGUCCGGAUUUAUUGGGUUUAAAGGGUGCUUAGGCGGCCUGUUAAGUGGGCGGUGAAAGUGUGUGGCUCAACCAUAGAAUUGCAGUUGAAAAUGGGAGGCUUGAGUAUGUUUGAGGCAGGCGGAAUGCGCGGUGUAGCGGUGAAAUGCUUAGAUAUCGCGCAGAACCCCGAUUGCGAAGGCAGCCUGCCAAGCCAUGACUGACGCUGAUGCACGAAAGCGUGGGGAUCAAACAGGAUUAGAUACCCUGGUAGUC
rnacentral:rRNA from 1 species